UACGGGGGGGGCAAGCGUUGUUCGGAAUUACUGGGCGUAAAGGGCUCGUAGGCGGCCAACUAAGUCAGACGUGAAAUCCCUCGGCUUAACCGGGGAACUGCGUCUGAUACUGGAUGGCUUGAGUUUGGGAGAGGGAUGCGGAAUUCCAGGUGUAGCGGUGAAAUGCGUAGAUAUCAGGAGGAACACCGGUGGUGUAGACGGCUUUCUGGACAAUCACUGACGCUGAGGUACGAAAGCGUGGGUAGCAAACAGG
rnacentral:rRNA from 1 species